CCCUUAGAUGUUCUGGGCUGCACGCGCGCUACACUGAAGCGUUCAACGAGCUUAUAACCUUGGCCGAGAGGCCUGGGCAAUCUUGUUAACGUGCAUCGUGAUUGGGAUAGAUUAUUGAAAUUAUUAAUCUUGAACGAGGAAUUCCUAGUAAACGCAGAUCAUCAAUCUGCAUUGAUUACGUCCCUGCCCUUUGUACACACCGCCCGUCGCACCUACCGAUUGGAUGGUCCGGUGAAGCCUCGGGAUUGUGGUUCUUGCCGCUUUAUUGUGGCGUGACCGCGAGAACUUGUCUAAACCUUAUCAUCUAGAGGAAGGUGAAGUCGUAACA
rnacentral:rRNA from 1 species